AAGCGGCGGGUCUUCGGGGCGUGACAGAGGGGCUCAAAAUAGAUAUAUUUAAAAUAUAUAUAAAUCGGUAAAAAAAAAUAUAGUUUAAAAUAAUUGCCGCUAAAAGAUAAGUUGACAAUAAAUAAUAACGGCUAUUUAAUAAUUGCCGCUAUUUAAUUGUCACUAAAUAUCUAUUUGUUAGGAAUUUUGUAUUGGCAACUUUUGUGAUUUGAGUUGAGUCUUGAAGGAUUCGGUUUAGGCUGUCGACUGUUAAAGAAUCCGAGAUUCCG
rnacentral:lncRNA from 1 species